GGGGUUGUAGCUCAGUAGUAGAGCGCUUGCCUCCCAUGCAUGAGGAACUGGGUUCAAUUCUCAGCACCA
rnacentral:tRNA from 1 species